UACGUAGGCAGCGAGCGUUGUUCGGAGUUACUGGGCGUAAAGAGUGCGUAGGCGGUUUUCUAAGUUUGGUGUGAAAUCUCCCGGCUUAACUGGGAGGGUGCGCCGAAAACUGGAAGGCUUGAGUAUGGGAGAGGUAAGCGGAAUUCCUGGUGUAGCGGUGAAAUGCGUAGAUAUCAGGAGGAACACCUGUGGUGUAGACAGCUUACUGGACCAUUUCUGACGCUGAGACACGAAAGCGUGGGUAGCAAACAGG
rnacentral:rRNA from 1 species